rfam:Triticum aestivum genome assembly, contig: Triticum_aestivum_CS42_TGACv1_scaffold_000473_1AL
AAUGCACUUCCUCUGUCCGAAAAUACUUGUCAUAAAAAUGGAUAAAAAAAUGUAUCUAGAUAUAUUUUAGUUCUAAAUACAUCUUUAUUUAUUUAUUUAUUUUGAUGAUAAGUAUUUUUGGACGGAGAAAGUAACAG